AUUGAACGCUGGCGGAAUGCUUUACACAUGCAAGUCGAGCGGCAGCGCGGGGCAACCUGGCGGCGAGCGGCGAACGGGUGAGUAAUGCAUCAGAACAUGUCCAUGGAUGGGGGAUAGCCCGGCGAAAGCCGGAUUAAUACCGCAUGAGCCCGAGAGGGGAAAGUGGGGGACCGCAAGGCCUCCCGUCGAUGGGUUGGCCGAUGCCCGAUUAGCUAGUUGGUGAGGUAAUGGCUCACCAAGGCGAUGAUCAGUAGCUGGUCUGAGAGGAUGAUCAGCCACACUGGGACUGAGACACGGCCCAGACUCCUACGGGAGGCAGCAGUGGGGAAUUUUGGACAAUGGGGGCAACCCUGAUCCAGGCAUUCCGCGUGAGUGAAGAAGGCCUUCGGGUUGUAAAGCUCUUUUGUCCGGAGCGAAACGGGGCGCGUGAAUAUCGCGCUCUACUGACGGUACCGGAAGAAUAAGCACCGGCUAACUACGUGCCAGCCGCCGCCGUAA
rnacentral:rRNA from 1 species